GUGUCCGUAGUUCAAUGGAUAGAACGCCGGGUUGCGGACCCGGAAGUUGAGAGUUCGACUCUCUCCGGACACA
rnacentral:tRNA from 1 species